rnacentral:rRNA from 1 species
ACACGGGGGGCGCAAGCGUUAUUCGGAAUUAUUGGGCGUAAAGGGCGUGUAGGCGGUUUUAUCGGUCAGAUGUGAAAGCCCAGGGCUCAACCCUGGACGUGCAUUUGAAACAGUAAGACUUGAGUACGGUAGAGGAAAGCGGAAUUCCUGGUGUAGAGGUGAAAUUCGUAGAUAUCAGGAGGAACACCGAUGGCGAAGGCAGCUUUCUGGACCGAAACUGACGCUGAUGCGCGAAGGCGUGGGUAGCGAACAGGAUUAGAUACCCCUGUAGUCC